rnacentral:rRNA from 1 species
CCCGCACAAGCGGAGGACAUGUGGUUUAAUUCGAUGAUACGCGAGGAACCUUACCUGGGCUUUAAAUGUAGAGUGCAUUUUUUAGAGAUAGAAAUUCCCUGGGGCUUUCUGCAAGGUGCUGCAUGGUUGUCGUCAGCUCGUGCCGUGAGGUGUCGGGUUAAGUCCCAUAACGAGCGCAACCCUUAUCGUUAGUUGCCAUCUGGUAAUGCAGGGGACUCUAGCGAAACUGCCACCGUAAGGUGAGAGGAAGGUGGGAUGACGUCAAAUCAGCACGGCCCUUAUGUCCAGGGCUACACACGUGUUACAAUGGUCGGUACAGAGGGCAGCUACCUGGUGACAGGAUGCUAAUCUCGAAAACCGGUCUCAGUUCGGAUCGAAGUCUGCAACUCGACUUCGUGAAGCUGGAUUCGCUAGUAAUCGCGCAUCAGCUAUGGCGCGGUGAAUACGUUCCCGGGCCUU